rnacentral:lncRNA from 1 species
CUUUUCAAGCACCAUUUGUACCAGAAUAGAGAUAUUACAUUAUUUGACAAUCCUAAAAAUUAAAUUAUACAAGAUACCACAUUUUUAAAGCUUAAAUGUUUUAAAUACUACCUCAUAUCUGAUAAGUUCAUAAUUACUGUCUGGCACAAAGUAUAUAUUCAACACUGUAGCCCUCUGUCCAUCGACUUCUAAUUGUACAAAUAAUCUAGAGACUUCUAGUCAAGAUGGAUACACAGGUACAAACACGUUAAAAGGCUAAAAAAAACUAUUA